rnacentral:rRNA from 1 species
AAAUUGAAGAGUUUGAUCAUGGCUCAGAUUGAACGCUGGCGGUAGGCCUAACACAUGCAAGUCGAACGGUAACAGGAAGCAGCUUGCUGCUUUGCUGACGAGUGGCGGACGGGUGAGUAAUGUCUGGGAAACUGCCUGAUGGAGGGGGAUAACUACUGGAAACGGUGGCUAAUACCGCAUAACGUCGCAAGACCAAAGAGGGGGACCUUCGGGCCUCUUGCCAUCAGAUGUGCCCAGAU